CUGUAUCCAAAUUAGCUCAACAUGAUCAAAAAAAUUAGUAGAGGAGCGUUUUCACAUUCUCUACGCUAACUUCACCUUCCCAUAAUUUAUUAUACCACAACAUUAGUGCAUAAAAGUUAAACUCAUGUCGAUUCUAUCACGCUCUAUUGACCAUGACAAUAAGAUCUCUUAAAAUAACACAUGACCUACAAUUUGGUGAAUAGACACACUUGCAUUGAAUGUCUUGAGCUAUAUGGAAUUAACUCGAUCAUAUAUAUUCUCAAAUGGAGGUCCAAAAUAUUUAUAAAGAACAAGGCACAAAAAGGAAAAGGCUAGAUCCUGUGAUCCACAGAGGACCAUAUAUACUAGCUAGUGCAUGUCAUUUUGAUUCACAACUCCGUAGGUUAUCAAAAGCACGCAUCUAAGAGGCAGCAACAGCACACAGCAGCCAGACUGCAAAAACAAUAUCAACAAAAAAUCGAUUAGUUUUCUCUGUCUUCUGAAAAUAGAAAGAGUUACGAGGGAAAUUAAUGUGUUAGCCUGCUAGGUACACUGAAUGGUAAAAUUAAUGAAGACACAUGCAACAACGCUAAACAUAUAUAUUAAGAUUACAAUUUAUUAGCUAUUGUUAGACUAGAAACAACAUAUAGAUCGAUUCAGAUACUGUAGUACUUUAGAAUAAUCCUAUUAGCCAAAAAAAUAAAAAUACGUAGCAGAUAAGUUCAAAUCGUUCAAUCUUCCACCAUUGUCAUUGGCAGAAUUCCUCAUCCACAGGCUAGACAGCAGCUCUCUUGCCCGGGGAUUAUAUUCCAUGCAAAGAGUGGAGUCAGGGGGAUUUUAAGAUAAAGAGAUUUGAAAACUUGCAAGAAUGCUAACAUCUGAGAUUUAAACUUAUAACCUAAAGUAAUUUUUUUACCAUCUUUGUCACGAAACUAGAAACUUCCUAAUAUCAAGGGUAGUUUACCUAUAUAUAUAUAUAUAUAUAUAUAUAUAUAUAUAUAUAUAUAUAUAUAGAUAUAUUUAUACAUAGUAUAAUUUUUGGAUGAACGGUCUUCGAUACAUAUAUAUAGCUCCACCCCUAUUUAUUGUUGGACGUCCAAGCGGUGGCAGAUAAAGCUCCGAGGCAGUGGGUUCAUCCGAACUUGGUAUUUCGACGCAUCAUAGAUAUAUAUGUGAAUUUUCACUAUAACUUCAACAAAUAUUAUAUGAACCAUAUAAUGUUACUAUGAACCUUAAAAGUCGAACACAUCAAUUUUAAUUCCUAGAUAUGUCUAACUUUCUUAGAUCCAAAUCCAGAAAAAUGUAAGAUCACACAUAUCCAGUCCAUGCAAGCCAACGAACAAGAUGACGCGGACACGCAAGACGACAACCGGCGCGGAUGUAGUGUAGUAUCAAUAGGUUCAACUGAACUCAUAACUUUUGACGCGGAGUAAAAUUUUAUAUGUAAAAAUUUAUUAAAAUUACAAAAAUAAUAGAUAUGAACCCAUAACUUUAAAAAUAUAAUGAGUUCAAACCUAAAAACUUUAAAAGUUGAACCCACAAGAUUUAAAUCCUAGAUCCGCUUCUGACAAUCGAGUUGCAUCAUGCAUGCAUGCACAAACGUAAGAAUUAAUAUUCAGAUAGGAGGGAGUAUGGGGGGAGGGGCAUAUAUGUACCAGCCAGUCAUGACGCCGGUGGUGGCAGAUGAGUUCUUUUGAGGGGGCGGAGCCGCGUACUGAGGGGCCCCGUACGGCGGAGGAGGAUAACCUUGUGGUUGUGGAGGAUAACCUUGUGGGUAUCCCUGAGGAGGAUACCCAUAUGCAUCCUUUGGUGGAUAUCCUAUUUAUUUAUUUUCACAUCCAUAUAUAUUCCAUUAGAUGCAAUAUAUUUCCGAGAAUAUCAUAAAGAACACAACAAACAAUAUUAAAGAAAAUUUGUUACCUUGAGGGGGAGGGACACCAACUGGAGGAGGUUGAUUGUAAUAACUCAUGAUCAAUUUAUUGGAUAUAGAUCUGUUGUUCGAAUUAUAUGGUUUCAAUAUUCAAAGAUUUUCUGUUCUUUGAGAGAUAUAUAAUGCAAAACUAUUUGCUCGAUCUUAGUCUGAUCUAGAAUAUGUCAACCGAUCCCUGUGUAAGAUUCAAGAUUUCAUAUUUGAUUAAUUUUCCGUAUGGUCAAAAUCCUAACAGAUAGAGAAACCCAUCAUGUUUGUUUAUGAAAACUAAUUAGUUAGUUGAUCACUUAAACUGUCAGUUUUUCUUUUAUAGAAAAUCAAUUCUUUAAGUUCGUGGAUUUUUCAACCGAAAUAAAUGCAAAACUAAUUAUUUUUCAUUUAUUAAAAAAUAAAGCUAUUUCCCUAUUCAAACGAAACCUAAGACCACAUGAUCCACUACUGUAGGGUCCCUUUCUUUAAUUCUUUUAACAUUCAAAUCAUUUCUGCAGUGUUAUUUUAUUUAAUUAACUUCACUUAGGAGUAU
rnacentral:lncRNA from 1 species